GGUGAAGGAACUUCUACUAAAAACGCACACAUCCUUUGUGCAACGUAGAAGUCACCACGUCCUGUGGA
rnacentral:sRNA from 1 species